CUGCAGUGCAUUAAAAAAAAAAAAGAUUUAGAGGGUUCUCUUGGCUUUUUCUCCUUCCCUUCUUCUUCGACCAAAUCCAGCAAGCCACCACCGUAACUCCGCCAUGGUGGUGGCCAGAAGUGCCAAAAUCGAGUCUUUUUGACCCCUUUCCAACCCCUUUCUUUUAUUUAAAAAAAACUUCGAAUACUACGUUUAUUUUAAGAAAUAAAGAGCGAGAUUCGUAAAAAACAAAUGAGGUUUCAACACCGUUCGAUCCCUCGCCCGAACCUUCACGUUUCCGAGGUAUUCGGGUUCUCAUCGGCGACGACUCAGGGCUAGGCAGGGUCAACGAAUAGGGAGCAGGUGGUGGCAAUCUAGAAUGCUAGGCCUCAGGCGAGGCGCAGGCGGGGUAACCGAAGGAGGAGCGACGCACAUGGGGUGUUAGGGUUAGGUUUCUAAAAAAUUUUUAAGUUUUUGGGCUAGGGUUUUUAGUUUUGGGCCUGUUUAGUUUUUAUUUAGGCUGAUGUAAGUGGAUUGUUUAAUAUUUGUUUUUUUGGUUGUUGGGCUCCAGGCAAAUUUGGGCAUUUGCAACUAUAACUAAAUGAGUUUAUAAUUAAUAGGCGAAAAGAUGGAACUUGCUUGUAAAUCUUUUGAGCCUAAUUAAAUAUGUCCAAUCAAUCCCUCUACUAGCUCGUUAAAACCAGCGUUAAAACCAGCGUUAAAACCAGAAA